rfam:Aedes aegypti strain Liverpool supercont1.664 genomic scaffold, whole genome shotgun sequence.
GUCUCGGUAGCUUAGUUGAUGAAGCGCUCGUCUAGCAUACAAGAGACCUGGGUUCGAAUCCCAGCCGUGCACA